GAUGAACGCUGGCGGCGUGCCUAAUACAUGCAAGUCGAGCGAACAGACGAGGAGCUUGCUCCUCUGACGUUAGCGGCGGACGGGUGAGUAACACGUGGAUAACCUACCUAUAAGACUGGGAUAACUUCGGGAAACCGGAGCUAAUACCGGAUAAUAUAUUGAACCGCAUGGUUCAAUAGUGAAAGACGGUUUUGCUGUCACUUAUAGAUGGAUUCGCGCCGCAUUAGCUAGUUGGUAAGGUAACGGCUUACCAAGGCAACGAUGCGUAGCCGACCUGAGAGGGUGAUCGGCCACACUGGAACUGAGACACGGUCCAGACUCCUACGGGAGGCAGCAGUAGGGAAUCUUCCGCAAUGGGCGAAAGCUUGACGGAGCAACGCCGCGUGAGUGAUGAAGGUCUUCGGAUCGUAAAACUCUGUUAUUAGGGAAGAACAAAUGUGUAAGUAACUAUGCACGUCUUGACGGUACCUAAUCAGAAAGCCACGGCUAACUACGUG
rnacentral:rRNA from 1 species